CCCUUAGAUGUUCUGGGCUGCACGCGCGCUACACUGACACACUCAGCGAGUCUCCUGGCCCGAGAGGGUUGGGUAAUCAUGUGAGCGUGUGUCGUGAUGGGGAUAGAAUAUUGUAAUUAUUGCUCUUCAACGAGGAAUUCCUAGUAAGCGCGAGUCAGCAGCUCGCGCUGAUUACGUCCCUGCCCUUUGUACACACCGCCCGUCGCUCCUACCGAUUGAAUGGUCCGGUGAAAUCUCGGGACGGCGGCUUGGUCGCUUGCGUCCGACUGCUGAAACUUGAUUAAACCAUAUCAUUUAGAGGAAGGUGAAGUCGUAACA
rnacentral:rRNA from 1 species